GGCGGAGCUCGAGCUACGCCACGUAGGAGCUGAGAAGUAGCUAGGAUAGCCUUAUGGGAAUAGCCGUACACUUCCCCAUUUUUGCUUGUAUAUAGCGUUCUAAUCAUAGUUUUAGAAGCUUUUUUUAAUAGAUAAUGAUGUUGUCUGUUUCAGAACUAUUGGUAGAGCGCUAUUGCGUGGCGGAAGACACCACAAUGAGUGAUUGAACCUCGUUCUUCCUACUACUGGACGUCGCCAUCUUGAGUAGAACUGAACCAUGGGGGCCGCCAUUUUGCUGGACCGGGCGGGUAUUUCCGGUUCCGGCGGGGGAAAGCGCUCUCUUUUCCUUUGCAGGGCUGCGGCUCGGUGGCCGCGGUGCUUGUCUCUCUGAGCUGUUCGGUGCCAUCCUCGUUGCUGCGGCGACAUCUCCACCCGCCGCUGCCAUGACUGAACAGAUGACCCUUCUUGGUACCCUCAAGGGCCACAACGGAUGGGUAACCCAGAUCGCUACUACUCCGCAGUUCCCGGACAUGAUACUGUCCGCCUCUCGAGAGGGGCUAUACACCACUUUUACUUGCCAUAGAGCAAAACAGACAGCAGAUGGUUGAAACAUUAAUUCAGAACAAAGCAAAUAUACAUGCAGUUGACCAGAAGGGAAGAACAGCCCUCAUGUUUGCUUUGGAACAAAAAUCAAAACACAUAGUUGAGAUGCUUCUUCAGAGUGGUAUUGAUGUCUCUGCUGCAGAUAACUUUGGGCAGAUGGCAUUAGCUUAUGCUAUUGCUAGUGGUGAUACUAGCCUCAAGAAAUUAAUUCUUCAAUAUAUGAAAGUAGAAUCUAAACAUCCUGAAAACAUCAACCCAGGCAAGGGAGAGACCUAGUGCCGCAGUCCAGCUGGGCAAAGUAACCAAGAGGUGACAAGCAACUGAAGGUUGAAGCAGUAACUGAAGGUAACUGCUUUAUUGCGGAACAGCAGAGGUGUAUAUAUCUAACUGAUUUACAUAAAGCAUGACUCAAUCAGCAUCAUCCAAUCAUAGCAUUGCUCCUCUACAGAUACAGCAAUCAGCCAAUAAGGAGUCCCCACCAUCUUGAUGAGUCGGCGGCAUUGCCUCACAAGCCACUCUUCCUGGCAAACUGCCAGGCACCAUCUUGACUUGGUCGCAGCCUCCAACAGACUAGGCUGAGGUGCUGCUUGGUGCAGACUUCAUACCUGCACAACUCUGUAAACAGGGUUGUUUCACCUCUCUCUGCUCAUGCUAUGAGGGUGGCUGCCAGACACUGGAUUAUAGUACAUUCGAUCCAUACCAACAUGGGUACAUGUCAGCUGGGGACUUUUAUUUACCCUGUUAUUUUACUUGAAGUACCUGCCAAGUUAUAAGUGGGAAUGUAUGUCUUUGGUGGAAAGUAAGAUGCAUUGUUUCUUACCUUUGCUGUGGGUUUUUAGAAGUUGCAAAGUACCUGCCAAUGUGUUCAAGGAAUGGGGCUGGAUCCCCAUUGCAGAUGGAAGAAGACAAACAACAAUAAUACAGCAUGAAGGCAAACUAGAUAUAGGUAUACAGAAACAAUCAACAAGAAAAAAAAGAAAACACCAGUAACAACAGAGAAGAAAGGGAUAAAAUAUUUAGGAUCCACUAAAUUGUUAAAGGUUCAUAAAAGUAAAAUUAAUUUUAAAAAAAGGAAGAAUGAGAAAUUGGAAGAAACUUUUAAAAAUUCUAUUAAAUUAUGACAAUAAGAUAAAAGUAAUGAAACAAAAUGACUAAGAAAGAAACACAAAGCAAAAUCUAGUCAAGAAUUUGUUCUACAUGAGUUGUAUGUGCACACACUGUCCUAGUCUGUGCCCAGGGCAAUGGUCAAUGCCUGCAUAGCAGCAAGCCCUUCAUACCUGCAGAGCUUUGGCAUUAAGAGGUUUGUGUCAGAAAGUCAUAUAUUCUGCCUGUAGAACUAUAGUCUGUGUGGGCUGGGAAUGUGGCUCAAGCGGUAGCGUGCUGGCCUGGCAAGCGUAUGGCCCGGGUUCGAUCCUCAGCACCACAUACAAACAAAGAUGUUGUGUCCGCCAAAAUCUAAAAAAAAAAAAAAAAAAUUAAAAUUCACUCUCUCUCUCUCUCUCUCUCUCUCUCUCUCUCUCUCUCUCUCUCUCUCUCAAAACAAACAAAAAAAAGAACUAUUGUCUCUGUGCCCAGGGAUAUGGCAAAUGUCUGAACUCCAGUAUCUACCCAAAAUGUGAAUUGAGAUUUUUCCAAAGAGCAAAUGUAUUUUCUAAUAUUUUUUUCUAUAAGUUGAAUGUAUUUAGUAAAUAAAAAUUAUUUGUGUAACUAAAAAUGAGUUGUCUCAUUAAAAUGAGGUGAAAUACUCUGUGGCAUUUUUAAACUAUUUUUUUGCGUAAAUAUGUAAUUAAAUUAUUCAAUUUCUUCAACUUAUGAGAAUAGCCAUAUUCUAUUGCUUUGAUCUUUAUCACUAAUUUGGAGGUGACUAUCUUGCCAUAAUCUAUAUUAACUGUUAAUGGUUAGCUCAGUGAGUAUCUUUAUUUUUUGAUUUAGUAACUUUUUGUGUGUACAGUACUGUAAUCAAAUCUAGGGCAUUAUGCAUCCAGGUAAGUUCUCUACCACUGAGGUAUAUCCUUGGUCCCUAAUACAUAGUUUUAAAUUCACAGAAAAGUACGGAAGGUACAGAGAUAUUUUCUUCUGUACUUCCUUUACUUUCAUAGUCCUCCUCCAUUAUCAAUGUCCACUACUAGGGGCAUACUCUUGCUACCAAUGAUGAGCCUAUAUUUAUACAUUAUUAUCACUCACACAUUUAAUUUAUAUUAGGAUUCUUUCUUGGUGCUAUACAACCUGUGGCUUUUAGAAAAAUGGAUAAUAGCAUCUAUUCAUAGUUGUAGCUUCAGAAACAAAAUGUUUUAUUGUCCUUAUCUUCCUAAUCACCUCAACACACACGUAACCCCUUCCAACCACUUAUCUCUAUUAUAUCUGGAAUAUUUUUUUUCCAGAGUAACCUUAUAUUUGGAAAAGUAUAGUAUAUUUAAAAUAUGAAAGUUCCAAUGAAAUUAAAUCUAAUCAUUUAGAAAAUACUUUUUAUUUUUUCUUUCUUUUGUGGUGCUAGUGAUUGAAUACAUUACAUCAUGUAAUAUAGGCACAUUGUGUAUGAAUGGGCUACAUUUAUAGCCCUUGUUUUCCAAUUUUUGUUCACUGGUAUAGACAUGAGGGCAUAUGGAUUACAUGCAGAAAAAGCAGGAAGUCUAUAAAGAUUUGCCACAUAAUGAAAAGGAUUGGAAAAAAAAAAUUGGAUCAUGCUGUACAAAACAGUGCUAACUGUAAUAUCCUACUCUACUGGGACCAGAUAAAAUCUUCUCAGUGGAAUCUGACAAUCUCAAGAAGUCAUAGUUUAUACAAUGGUCAUCAAAAUGUAUUUUACAGCCUUGCCAUAGGAAAACUUUCUAGAAAGAAAGUAGUAAAUAUGAAUUAAAAUUAUCUCCUCUUCAGUUGUCAGAAUGAAUCUUUGAUGGUUUGGAUGUGAGGUGUCCCCAAAAAGCUCAAGUGUGAUAUAAUGCAAGAAUGUUUAGAGGGGAAAUGAUUGGGCUCUGAGAGUCUUAACCCAGUCAGUGAAUUAAUCCCCUGAUGGGAUUAACUGGGUGGUAACUGAAGGCAGGUAAAGUGCGGCUAAGGAUGUGCAUCAUUGGAGGUUUGCCUUUGAUAUUUUGUAUCUGGUGAGUAGAGUCUCUCUCUGCUUUCUGUUCAAAAGUGAGCUGCUUCCCUAUGCCUUACUCUUCCACCAUGAUAUUCAGCCUCAUCCUCGAGUCCCAUGGAAUGGAGUUGGCAGUCUAAAAACUGAGACCUCUGAAACCUUCAAAUAAACUCUUUCCCCACUAUAAUUGUUCUGGUCAGGUCCUGUAGUCACAGCAAUAAAAAAAUCUGACUAAUACAGAAUCUCAAUGAAAUUUGCUAUGUACAUUUAUGACUGCCCCAUAAUGAAUCUCAUCAACAUGUAUGUCCCCAAGGUAGUAAUUUUUUUUUUUUAAAAAAAGGAUAUAAAUAAACAGUUCACUACAGUAGAUGAAAGGAAACAAAGCAAGGGGGGGGGGGUGAAAAAAAGGGUAUCUACUGGGGGACUGAAUUUAAAAGAAAAAAAUGAAGCUUUAGAAUUUGAUCAAAAUGAAUCCUUAUGUUUAAAUUAAAAGAUCCAAUAAAAAACAAAGAUAAAAGAAUUACAUUGCCACAUGCUUGAGGUAGUAUAUUGAGUAAAAUAAUUCCAUAAAGUGCUUUAAAUUUAGCAAAUCCAACACUGUCUGAAAUAUGUCCCCUUCUUUGUAUAAGCCCCUUCGGCUUUAUUCAUACUAUAUGCUUUACAUUUUUGCCAUUACACAUUAAUGACAUUCUUCAAAUAAUCUAAAAACUCAUUCUAAUAUUUUCAGAGAACAGUAUAAAAUCAGACUAUUUAAUUUUAACAGAACUGACAUUCUUUUUUUUUCUUUUUUCUUUUUAUUUCUUUUUUUUUAAUGGUUGUUCAAAACAUUACAAAGCUCUUGACAUAUCAUAUUUCAUACAUUAGAUUCAAGUGGGUUAUGAACUCCCAUUUUUACCCCAAAUACAGAUUGCAGAAUCACAUCGGGUACACAUUCACAAUUUUACAUAAUGCCCUAUUAGUAACUGUUGUAUUCUGCUACCUUUCCUAUCCUCUACUAUCCCCCCUCCCUUCCCCUCCCAUCUUCUCUCUCUACCCCAUCUACUGUAAUUCAUUUCUCUCCUUGUUUAUUUUCCCAUUCCCCUCACAACCUCUUAUAUGUAAUUUUGUAUAGCAUUGAGGGUCUCCCUCCAUUUCUAUGCAGUUUCCCUUUUCUCUCCCUUUCCCUCCCACCUCAACAAAUGGGACUUACUUAAACUAAAAAGUUUUUUCUCAGCAAGAGAAACAAUAAGAGAGGUAAAUAGGGAGCCUACAUCAUGGGAACAAAUUUUCACUCCUCACACUUCAGAUAGAGCCCUAAUAUCCAGAGUAUACAAAGAAUUCAAAAAAUUAGACAAUAAGAUAACAAAUAACCCAAUCAACAAAUGGGCCAAGGACCUGAACAGACACUUCUCAGAGGAGGACAUACAAUCAAUCAUCAAGUACAUGAAAAAAAUGCUCACCAUCUCUAGCAGUCAGAGAAAUGCAAAUCAAAACCACCCUAGGAUACCAUCUCACUCCAGUAAGAUUGGCAGCCAUUAUGAAGUCAAACAACAAGUGCUGGCGAGGAUGUGGGGAAAAGGGUACUCUUAUACAUUGCUGGUGGGACUGCAAAUUGGUGCGGCCAAUUUGGAAAGCAGUAUGGAGAUUCCUGGGAAAGCUGGGAAUGGAACCACCAUUUGACCCAGCUAUUGCGCUUCUCGGACUAUUCCCUAAAGACCUUAAAAGAGCAUACUACAGGGAUACUGCCACAUCGAUCGAUGUUCAUAGCAGCACAAUUCACAAUAGCUAGACUGUGGAACCAACCCAGAUGCCCUUCAAUAGAUGAAUGGAUAAAAAAAAAAAGUGGCAUUUAUACACAAUGGAGUACUACAUAGCACUAAAAAAUGACAAAAUCAUGGAAUUUGCAGGGAAAUGGAUGGCACUAGAGCAGAUUGUGCUAAGUGAAGCUAGCCAAUCCCUAAAAAACAAAUGCCAAAUGUCUUCUUUGAUGUAAGGAGAGUAACUAAGAACAGAGUAGGGAUGAAGAGCAUGCGAAAAAGAUUAACAUUAAACAGGGAUGAGAGGUGGGAGGGAAAGGGAGAGGGAAGGGAAAUUGCAUGGAAAUGGAAGGAGACCCUCAGGGUUAUACAAAAUUACAUGUAAGAGGAAGUGAUAGGAAAGAGAAAAAAAUACAAGGGGGAGAAGUGAAUUACAGUAGAGGGGGUAGAGAGAGAAGAGGGGAGGGGGGAUAGUAGAGGAUAGGAAAGGCAGCAGAAUACAACAGACCCUAGUAUGGCAAUAUGUAAAUCAAUGGAUGUGUAACUGAAGUGAUUCUGCAAUUUGUAUACGGGGUAAAAAUGGGAGUUCAUAACCCACUUGAAUCAAAGUGUGAAAUAUGAUAUAUCAAGAACUAUGUAAUGUUUUGAACAACCAACAGUAAAAAAUUUUUAAAAAAUAAUAAAAAAAAGAAAGGCGGGAAAUGUGACGAUUCCCUCUGGUCCAGGAUGGGAGUGUGUCGUUGGGGACCAGCAACCAUUAGUCUUCAUCAAUGAAUAUUUAGGUUUUUUCCAUUUUUUGCUACUGUUAACACCAUGAUAAGUUUUCUUGUAUGUGCAAUUUUGUGUACUGUUCAUUAUAGUACAAAUACAAUCAUUGGUAAGUUAAGAAUAUAAACAUUCCCAGGCUUUGUAAUACGUAUUAUCAAAUCUGUCAGAUCGUUCUAAUUAACACUCCCACUAAUGGCCUUAAUCCCUUUACACAUCUUUUGUAGUGGUUAACACAAGGCCAGUGUGUUAGUCAGCUUUCCAUUGAUAUUACAAAAUACCAAGGUAAUAAGCUUGUAAGGAGGAAAUGUUUAUUUAGGCUCAUGGUUUCAGAGGUUCAGCCCAUGGUUACUUAAGCCUGUCAUUUUGGGCUUGUGGUAGAACAUUACUUCAUGACCAGAAGUGCAUAGCAGAGGAAGCUGCUCACAUCAUGUCUGCUGGAACAUAGAGAGACAAGAAGGGGCCAAGGUCCCAAAUCCCCUACAAGAGCUCACCCUAUUGGCUUAACUUCCUUUCACUAGGCCACAGCUCUUAAAUUUUCCACCAUCUCCCAAUUGCAUCUUGGGCUGGGAACCAAGCCUUUAACACCUGGGCCUUUGAGGGUCGCUCAAGAUCCCAAGAUAUAGCAGCUACAUUCAUAAUUCUUUCUGUUGGGUGGGUUUUUAUCACUAGAUGAAUAUUCAUUAAGUGAAAGACCUGGCAUCUUGAGAACCUUAAAUAGUAUCAACAGGAUUUCAUGAUAGCCUGUCCUCCUCUAUUUCCUCCAUCUACAUGAAUGUGAGGGCUGGUCCUGGGUGAGCUGGAGUAGCUUGUUCUUACAGGUAUGUGACGUUCAAGGAUGUGGCUAUGCUCUUUACUCGGGAUGAGUGGAAAAAGCUGGAUCCUUCCCAGAGAAGCUUGUAUCGGGAGGUGAUGCUGGAGAACUAUAGUAACCUGGCCUCACUGGGAGGACUCCCAUUUAUCAAACCAAAGGUGAUCUCCCUGUUACAGGAGGGAGAAGGUCCCUGGAAGGUAGAGAAAGAAAAUUCUGGAAGCACCUCUCUUGCAUGGAAGAACUAUCAUAAGACCACGAAGUCAACUCAAACACAGGACUCUUCAUUUCAGAGAUUGAUAAUGAACAGAUCCAGAAGGAAUGGACUUGGACCCUUGGAUUUGAAAUCAGAAAAAUCUUAAUAUAUGAAGGCAAAUUAGAGAAAAAACAGGAUUAAAAAGGAAAUUUUUCAGAUAGUUUCAGUCACCCACAAAAAAACCCUAACUGUAGAAAGAAGCCAUAAAAAUGUUGAAUUUAGCCAGAACUUCAACCCAAAGUCAGUAGUUGUUAGGCAACAGAUAGUUCCCAGAGAGAAACCACCACCAAAAUAUGAAAAAAAAGGGGAACACUUUGAAACAUAAUUCAAAUUUACCUAAUCAGCCAAAAAUGACAGCAGGUAAAUGCUAUCAAUGUAGUAUGUGUGAGUAAACCUUUAUUAAUACUUCUUCCCUUCAUAAACAUGAGAAAAAAUCAUAGUGGAGAGAAAUUAUUUAAAUGUAAAGACUGUUCCAAAGCCUUUAGCCAAAGUUCAGCUCUUAUUCAACCUCAAAUAACUCAUACUGGAGAGAAACCUUAUAUAUGUAAAUAAUGUGGGAAAGCCUUCACUCUCAGUACAUCCCUGUAUAAGCAUCUAAGAACCCACACUGUCGAGAAAUCUUAUAGAUGUAAGGAAUGUGGUAAGUCCUUCAGCUGAGGGUCAGGGCUUUUUAUACAUCAGAAAAUCCAUGCUGGAGAAAACCCUUAUAAAUAUAAUCCAGGUAGGAAAGCAUCUGGUUGCAACACAUCCCUUCCUGGUCAAAGAGUUCAUCCCAGAAAGAAGUCCUAUUUGUGUAAGGAAAUGUAGCAACACCUUUAAAUCUAGUUCAUCCCUUCAUUAUCAUCAGAUAAUUCACACUGGAGAGAAACCUUUCAAAUGUGGUGAAUGUGGGAGAGCCUUCAGUCAGAGUGCAUCACUUAUUCAACACGAAUGAAUUCACACUGGCGAAAAGCCCAAUCGAUGUAAUGAAUGUGGAAAAGGCUUCACUUCUAUUUCACGACUCAAUAGACAUUGAAUAAUUCAUAUUGGUGAGAAGUUUUAUAAUUGUAAUGAAUGUGGCAAGGCCUUAAGUUCCCAUUCAACUCUUAUCAUUCAUGAGAGGAUUCACACCGGAGAGAAACCAUGUAAAUGUAAAGUGUGUGGGAAAGUCUUCAGGCAGAGUUCAGCUCUCAUUCAGCAUCAGAGAAUGCACACUGGAGAAAGACCCUACAAAUGCAAUGAGUGUGAGAAGACAUUCAGGUGUAACUCAUCCCUUAGUAAUCAUCAGAAAAUCCAUACUAGAGAGAAACCUUAUCAAUGUGGGGAAUGUGGGAUGUCAUUUGGCCAAAGUUCAGCCCUUAUUCAACAUCGAAGGAUUCAUACAGGAGAGACCCUUUAAAUGUAAUACUUGUGGGAAAACAUUUAGACAAAGCUCCUCACGUAUUGCACACCAGAGAAUUCAUACAGGGGAGAAACCCUAUGAGUGUGACACAUGUGGGAAAUGUUUCAACCAUAGGUCAUCCCUUACUAAUCACUAUAAAAUCCAUAUGGAAGAAGAACCCUAGAAAGUAGAUUUGCUUGUGUAAAAGCCUUAAACCAAAGCUCAUCAGAGAAUACAUACUUCAAGGGUGAUGUAAUAAAUGUAAUGGAUAUUGAAAAAGCCCAAAAUCAUUUAGUGCCCAUUAGCUAUCAAAUCCCAUGAACAAAUCUUGAUUAUGUAAUAGCUAAAAGGAAAGCAUUCAUACCUGCUGCUUUUUAAAAUAACUUGAGGAUUCAUAAGUGGAGACACUAACUUUGGGCAUUUGUAAAAUAAAAGGUGUUUGAUUUUCCUCUUUCCUACAGCAGUGUAGUCUAGCUAUCACAUGUGAUCAUCAUAAACAUCAAGUGGAUAGGGAUUUCUCUGGUUUUCUCAUAAAAACACCAAACUCUACACUGGUGAUAUUUUUUAUAACAUUUUAGUAGCAUAUGAGUGAAUGAAUCAAAGAAAUUAUACAUUUUUAAUGAAAAGGACCAAAAUAAAAGAUUAAAAUAAACUGUAAACUACCUCUCA